rnacentral:rRNA from 1 species
GAUGAACGCUGGCGGCGUGCCUAAUACAUGCAAGUCGAGCGAACGGACGAGAAGCUUGCUUCUCUGAUGUUAGCGGCGGACGGGUGAGUAACACGUGGAUAACCUACCUAUAAGACUGGGAUAACUUCGGGAAACCGGAGCUAAUACCGGAUGAUAUUUUGAACCGCAUGGUUCAAAAGUGAAAGACGGUCUUGCUGUCACUUCUCGAUGGAUCCGCGCUGCAUUAGCUAGUUGGUAAGGUAACGGCUUACCAAGGCAACGAUGCAUAGCCGACCUGAGAGGGUGAUCGGCCACACUGGAACUGAGACACGGUCCAGACUCCUACGGGAGGCAGCAGUAGGGAAUCUUCCGCAAUGGGCGAAAGCCUGACGGAGCAACGCCGCGUGAGUGAUGAAGGUCUUCGGAUCGUAAAACUCUGUUAUUAGGGAAGAACAUAUGUGUAAGUAACUGUGCACAUCUUGACGGCACCUAAUCAGAAAGCCACGGCUAACUACGUG